UCAUUUAAAGAAAGCGUAAUAGCUCACUGGUCGAGUCGGCCUGCGCGGAAGAUGUAACGGGGCUAAACCAUGCACCGAAGCUGCGGCAGCGACGCUGAUGCGUUGUUGGGUAGGGGAGCGUUCUGUAAGCCUGCGAAGGUGGCCUGUGAGGGUUGCUGGAGGUAUCAGAAGUGCGAAUGCUGACAUAAGUAACGAUAAAGCGGGUGAAAAGCCCGCUCGCCGGAAGACCAAGGGUUCCUGUCCAACGUUAAUCGGGGCAGGGUGAGUCGACCCCUAAGGCGAGGCCGAAAGGCGUAGUCGAUGGGAAACGGGUUAAUAUUCCCGUACUUGGUGUUACUGCGAAGGGGGGACGGAGAAGGCUAUGUUGGCCGGGCGACGGUUGUCCCGGUUUAAGCGUGUAGGUGUGUGUUCCAGGUAAAUCCGGUUCACUUUAACACUGAGGCGUGAUGACGAGGCACUACGGUGCUGAAGCAACAAAUGCCCUGCUUCCAGGAAAAGCCUCUAAGCAUCAGGUAACAUCAAAUCGUACCCCAAACCGACACAGGUGGUCAGGUAGAGAAUACCAAGGCGCUUGAGAGAACUCGGGUGAAGGAACUAGGCAAAAUGGUGCCGUAACUUCGGGAGAAGGCACGCUGACACGUAGGUGAAGUGAUUUACUCAUGGAGCUGAAGUCAGUCGAAGAUACCAGCUGGCUGCAACUGUUUAUUAAAAACACAGCACUGUGCAAACACGAAAGUGGACGUAUACGGUGUGACGCCUGCCCGGUGCCGGAAGGUUAAUUGAUGGGGUCAGCGCAAGCGAAGCUCCUGAUCGAAGCCCCGGUAAACGGCGGCCGUAACUAUAACGGUCCUAAGGUAGCGAAAUUCCUUGUCGGGUAAGUUCCGACCUGCACGAAUGGCGUAAUGAUGGCCAGGCUGUCUCCACCCGAGACUCAGUGAAAUUGAACUCGCUGUGAAGAUGCAGUGUACCCGCGGCAAGACGGAAAGACCCCGUGAACCUUUACUAUAGCUUGACACUGAACAUUGAGCCUUGAUGUGUAGGAUAGGUGGGAGGCUUUGAAGUGUGGACGCCAGUCUGCAUGGAGCCGACCUUGAAAUACCACCCUUUAAUGUUUGAUGUUCUAACGUGGACCCGUGAUCCGGGUUGCGGACAGUGUCUGGUGGGUAGUUUGACUGGGGCGGUCUCCUCCUAAAGAGUAACGGAGGAGCACGAAGGUUGGCUAAUCCUGGUCGGACAUCAGGAGGUUAGUGCAAUGGCAUAAGCCAGCUUGACUGCGAGCGUGACGGCGCGAGCAGGUGCGAAAGCAGGUCAUAGUGAUCCGGUGGUUCUGAAUGGAAGGGCCAUCGCUCAACGGAUAAAAGGUACUCCGGGGAUAACAGGCUGAUACCGCCCAAGAGUUCAUAUCGACGGCGGUGUUUGGCACCUCGAUGUCGGCUCAUCACAUCCUGGGGCUGAAGUAGGUCCCAAGGGUAUGGCUGUUCGCCAUUUAAAGUGGUACGCGAGCUGGGUUUAGAACGUCGUGAGACAGUUCGGUCCCUAUCUGCCGUGGGCGCUGGAGAACUGAGGGGGGCUGCUCCUAGUACGAGAGGACCGGAGUGGACGCAUCACUGGUGUUCGGGUUGUCAUGCCAAUGGCACUGCCCGGUAGCUAAAUGCGGAAGAGAUAAGUGCUGAAAGCAUCUAAGCACGAAACUUGCCCCGAGAUGAGUUCUCCCUGAGACUUUAGGUCUCCUGAAGGAACGU
rnacentral:rRNA from 1 species